CAUCAUUUGCAUCAAGCAACAACACCAUAUGCAAGACAACCACUUCUGGUGAAUAGGCUACUGUAAAAUACGUGCGCCAUAAGAAAGUAUGGAUAUUUUUGUUUGUCUAUUUUAUGUGUUUGCUGAUCAAUUAAAUUAUAGUCUGUUGUCGUGACAAAUGACUUUUUUUUAAAGAAGAAGAAAAUAAUUGGUGUACUGUCUACCUUUCGCUCUGCACACGUCACGUUGGGGCGGCACUCACAGCAGGUGUGCUCUCUGGGUGCGAGAAGAAUAGAAGGAACAGAAUAGACGCACCUUCCGUUAUUUUCAGGGUUGUAUCGACACAAUGAUGGACCUUAGAUGCAUAGGCGGGUGUGUGCCGUUAUUUUUUCUGGCUAUUGGUUUUGAUGUUAUUGGUUUCAUUAUCCUGUUCAUUGGAAUUUUUGCCAAUUUGCGUAUCGAUGGCAGGUUUUAUGGCGAUUUCUUGAUUUACAGUGGUUCAAUUAUAAUUUUCAUAAGUUUGGCUUGGUGGAUUAUGUGGUACGUGGGAAAUAUACAGGUCUCAGAAGACAGCUUUGGAACAAGCUUAAUGAAAAAGAAACUGAGUUUUGUACAGUUGGCCAGAAAGUUGUCAGAGAGGCUUUCCAAAAAAUGCAAACCUGAACAUGUAACCACAAAGUAUGCCGAGGAAAACAAGGUUAAAGCUGUGACGCCUUCACCUGUUCACGUCGCCUCUCGAAUAACCUGGGGGAAAUCUUUCGGUUAUCAGAAUGGCGGCUAUGACUCCAGCUUGGACUCCUUUUCGAUGGAGAAGGAAAAACAGACACCAGAUAUACAGAACUUGGAUGUGCAGACCCUCGCUAGGGGUAAUGUUGAAAGGCUGUUCUGAUUGUUCUCCGUAACACUUUCUGAUCCCAAGACUACCUUCAACACUGUACGCUUCACGGAAUGGGACUACAGACAAUUCAGGACAUUAAUCAGCACUGGUCUGGACGUUAGUUCUUGACAACAAAGAUCCUUAUGGGGUGAAAUGACCUAUAGUCCUAGGGAAAUAGACCUACUGUAGAUAUUGCUCUGAAUGCAUAUUAUAUUGUUUUAGUUAUUUUAUUUAUAUAUCAAUUAUUAAUAUAAUCGCCAUGUGAUAUGUGAACUUUUUAUGCUCAAGGAUCAAUAUUAUGUGGAAAGGCUAUAUUUUGUCAUAUAAACAUAUCAACAUGUUAAGGUCCAUCAUAGCCAUUUUCUAGAAUAGUUUCCGUCUCUAGUCUCAGACGGAAAUCCUAGAGGCCCCUGUCUGAACGGCAGGUAUUUGAACACAGACUCUCUUCAAGCCAGACCCAGAAAUGCAAUCACCUGCAUUUACAAUUAUUGACACUACAUAAAAACAGUAGUCAGGCAGGUUUGCCUGUGCCACAACAAUUGCAUUGCCAAAGCAGGCCGUAAACAAAACGUUGUGUGGCCUGGGGCACUGAGCUUGGUUUCACCUGUACGUUGACAUUACAUGGGCAUUUGGGCUAUACUAUUUUAACUGUUCACUGAGUAGGCUGAUUUAGUUUUUAAUCAUGUGCGUAAACUCCUAAAAUGUAUAUUCCACCAGACUGCAUUUUUUUAAUGUUGUGAUUUAUUUGAUAUUUUAUUUCUUAAUAUUCUUUAGAUUUCAGUUGCCUUACCAACAUAUAGCUUUUUUUGUUUAACAUGACUGAUAAUGAGCGUGUGCAUAUCAAGUCAUUGUACUCAGGGCGUUGCCUGUCUGUAUGCUAAGUAUGACCUAAUCCUGGCCUGUUGACUCUGCUUUGCGGUCCUUGGUUGAAUAGGUAUUGCACAGAGGUAAACCAAACUCCCGCGACUGUCUGACUGGUCGAACAAGGUACUUAAAGGGUGAGGUUUUUCACUGCAGUUCCCCUUUCUGUCAUGAUGUAGGAAGCAUGAAAUAGUAAAUCAUUGUGAAAUGCGUCCAGUAGGCCUACUGAAGGCUAAAUAUAAACUGCUGAUAGAAUCACUGAAAUAUAUCUUCCCAACAUACAGUAUCUUUUCCAACACUGUUCAUAAUGUUAGAUGUUAAACAUAUUUGCUAAUGCCAUAUUUUUCAUAUCAAAUGCAUUAUUAUUUUAUACACAGAGGCAUGGUGCAUUAGAUUUGAUUUAUUUUAAAUAUACAUCCAAUGAUCUUGAUAAGCAUCCAAAAUAAAAAAUAGUUAUCUAAUGAGAUGA